GGCGAUGGUAGGAGAAUAGAGAGGAUAACUAUGGUUUCUCUACUUCAAAGGGGUAUGUCUAUGUCUGGGACGAACCACGUGAUAAGAAUACACCACAAAGGAUGCUUAUCCAUAGGCCGAUAAACCCUACCAGUCCCGCUAACGGGAGGUGGACUACAGAGGACCAACGUAGGUGUCACAUACGCGGCCUACCACACGAUCCGGCUAGACAGAGGAUAUCCACAAGUAAUCUAGGUGUAAGCACCAUGCUUACACCUAUACUACAACUCUCACCUAUAGCGUCCUAUAGAUUAAAGUACUCAAAAGAGUUGUGAACCAAAACAUACAUGGAUAGUAAUUGCACAAUGUAAUAAGAAGUAGAUUACCAGAGUCAUCCCAUGAGCAAGCUUGAUUAGAGCUUAAUCAUGGCGAAGUACAACCGGAGGAAGAACCGACAGGCCGGCCUCUCCUCCAAUCCUCCCUCGCUCUCCAUCUCGCUACUAUCUAGAUCUACUCUAGUUUAGAGAAGAGAGGAGAGCUCUCAUCUCCAAACCCUAGCUUUUCCUCUGUCUAUGAAUAAUGAAUAGGGAUCAAGGGGUGCCUCCUCUAGGGGCCAGGGGGUCUGCUUAUAUGGCCCUUCCAAGUGAAUGUGGGCCGUCAGAUCAAACCGACCUUAAUCGCAUGGUUUUCCUUGAUCCUUUUGGUCGGUGGAGCAUAAUCCGUGAGGCGGAGCCUGAUUGGUCCAGAUGACAGGGCGGGGGCCCAAGGGGGGAGGGCGGGCGCCCUGCCCCCGGGCCCGCUCGGCUUCCCGUUCGUUCCCGUGGCUUUUGGAGUCUUCUAGAUGAUAGAAAAUUACGCGACAUGUUAAUAUCUCUAUGUAAACCCGACAUGUGGGCCUUUCCUCCAUAUUUCCUGAUAACUCCCUAUAGAAAUAGACAAACACCAAAACUCGUGGAAUUCUGUCAGAUAAAACCCUAAGUUUGGGUGUUUGUUGCAUUUGGAUCCUUUUCUUUGGUUAUUUGAUAAUUAAAUUUGAUACUUAAGGACCGUCAACAACUCCCCCAAGCUUACCUCUUGCUCGUCCCUGAGCAAGGAUGGACUCAAGAGUUUCUGCAGUGGUUUCAAGCCUUAAAGGUACACAUGCAUUCAAACAAGAUCUCAUCUCUGGGUUAGGGUAAACUGUUAAGAUUUAAACUUACUCAUAUUACCUUCCACCAUGGGGCUUGCAGCCGUCACUUGUGUCUUGAGCAGUUAAAAGAUAGAACGGUCAAGUCAAGCGCCAUGUCUCUUGUUCUUGAUCAACUAUAGCUCUGGAGUUUUUGCAGAUUUUCAAAUAAAACUCAGAGAUUCCUUGUAUGACUCUCUCUAGUCUCUCUUUUGUGGUUUUUCUGGAUCCUUACCAAGGCAGUAAUGGUGUAUGCCUUCUCUCAAAGUAUGUGGUAUUUUUGGUAUGAGGCAGUGACAUUGCCUUCUCUCUCACCCUACUCUAAUAAGGUUUUGAUAUCUGGAGCUCAUAGGUGGGAGACAGCUAAUACAUACUUACAAGACAUUUAUUGCAUAGUCAAACCAUGGAUCUAGAGAAACAAGUCAAUAAGUCAGAUCAAGAUGUGCAUGUGUGGCGAAUGAAUGGUGUAUGGUGAUGAUGGUGAAAACAAUGGUGAAAGUCUAAUUCUACUUUUGCUCUUUUGAGGGGAUACAUACCUUUCAUGCACUUUGAAGCUUUUUAAGGGGGAAUGAGAUGCUCUAUAUAUUUUUUUUAUUUUCUAUCAGGUGGGUAUCUUGUACCCCUAAUUCUACUGUCGGACACUUUUCAAUUCUACUGUCGGACACUUUUCCAUUUUUACCUCUCGUCGUACUUUUUAUUUUCUUCGAGGUUCCGGGCACUUGCCCCUUUUUAUUUCCUCGUAUUUUUCACUUUUUUUUCUUUUUUUAAAGCACUCACCCUCCUGGAAUAAUGCAGCAAGUGGUAGUAACCAAAAUAUCUCAAGCAUUUAUUUCACUAGGAAAAGCAGGAAUGGGAUAAUGUUUUUGGCUAUUCUCUCCCGGAUAGGAGUAGAAUAAUUUUGGGUGAAUCUGGAGAUGGAAAUGAGGUGAUGUAUGUGGAUGCGUACUUCCCGAGUAGAAGCAGCAUGUAUGAGUGAACGUGCAAGUGAAUCUUGAUUUUAACGGCUUGACAAGCUCCUUAAGGGUCUACAUAGCUUGACCACACUCAAUGCUCAUAAGUAGUAAAAAGUAAAUGUAUGGUUCCUAGUUGUUGACGGUCCUUAAUGCUCACAUUUAACUGUCAACUAAUCAUGGAAAAAGAUCCAAAUGCAACCAAUACCCAGACUUAGGGUUUUAUCUGACAGAAUUCCACAAGUUUUGGUGUUUGUCUAUUUCUGCAGGGGGUUAUCAGGAAAUACGGAAGAAAGGCCCACACGUCGGGUUUACAUAGAGAUAUUAACUUGACGCGCAAUUAUCUACCAUCUAGAAGAGUCCAGAAGCCACGGGAGUGAACGGGAGAUGUGACGGAGCCGGGCACUGGGCGCCCGCCCUCCCUUACUGGGCGCCCGCGCUCCCCCCUGGACCAAUCAGGGCGAAGCUCAGGGAUCAUGCUCCACCGACCUAAUACUUCAAGGAAAACCACACGAUCAAUGUCGGUUUGAUCCGACGGCCCAGAUUCAUCUGAAAAGACUAUAUAAGCAAGGCCCCCUGGCCCCUGGAGAUCAUACCUCUUCUACAGAAUCAAAGCUAGGGUUUCAAUUCUUCAUCCAAGUAGAGAGGAUCCCUCUAGUUCUUCUAGUUCUACCUCUAGUUCAUCUAGAUCUAGUUCUAGUUCAUCUAGUUCUAGUUCUAGUUCCUCUAGUUUUAGUUCUAGUUGGUUCUAGUUGUAAUCUAGAAAAUAUGAAGAGAGAAGAGGAGAGAGUUGGAGGAGCCGGAUCUGUCUGAUCUUCCUCAACAUUGUACUUUUGCAGCAACUGGUUCGUUCUUCGUCGUUCUCCAGGUUCUUCAAUUCAUAAUUCCUGAGUUCUUUAAUUACUUUUAUUUACAUUCAAGUUAUUUAUUGGAUUCCCGCUUGCAUCAAGUGCUCUAGUCUUUAUAACGCUAGAGUAGUAAUUAAUAGAUUAGACGUGGUGUUUAGUCUUGCAAUUACCUGGAAUUGCACCAAAUCCUGCGGAUUGUUGUGGUAGCCUUAGGGUAGUGAUAGCCCUAAUGGUCAAUGUAUUCCACCUCGUUCGGAUCGGUGUUUGUAGGACCGUAGUCAGACCUUCCUAGCCCCCUUCUCAUCUCUUUCUGUGGUUUGUGCUCUGAUGUCCCAAUAUAGAUAAUCUUGAAGUAAUUCUUGAUUCUUAGAUCAACUAGAGAACUCUCAGGAAACUUCCUCUCUUCCCACCAAAAACAAUUAUAUAGUUAUCCUUGGGCGAUCUUGGAUCUUAAUUAGUACACUCAUGUUCUCUGUGGAAAAUCGAUACUCUGGAAUACUCCCGGGUGAAGGCUACAUCGGUAUCCGUGCGCUUGCAUAUAUUUUCUGUUUGCGUUUAAAAUACCCAACAAGCUUUCCGGCGCCGUUGUCGGGGAACGGUAGCUGUGCUAGUUUCGAACCAAGUCAUCCGUGUAUCCUUUUUCUUUUCCUUUUUUACCACACUCACCUUACCAUUUUCACCACACCAC
rnacentral:lncRNA from 1 species